AUCUUUGGUGAUCUAACUAUAUGCUGAAUAAUCGAAAAAUCAUAAAGCUAGAUCAGCAAAGCU
rnacentral:pre_miRNA from 1 species